rnacentral:rRNA from 1 species
AAAUACUCCUGACUGACCGAUAGUGAACCAGUACCGUGAGGGAAAGGCGAAAAGAACCCCGGCGAGGGGAGUGAAAAAGAACCUGAAACCGUGUACGUACAAGCAGUGGGAGCACGCUUAGGCGUGUGACUGCGUACCUUUUGUAUAAUGGGUCAGCGACUUAUAUUCUGUAGCAAGGUUAACCGAAUAGGGGAGCCGAAGGGAAACCGAGUCUUAACUGGGCGUUAAGUUGCAGGGUAUAGACCCGAAACCCGGUGAUCUAGCCAUGGGCAGGUUGAAGGUUGGGUAACACUAACUGGAGGACCGAACCGACUAAUGUUGAAAAAUUAGCGGAUGACUUGUGGCUGGGGGUGAAAGGCCAAUCAAACCGGGAGAUAGCUGGUUCUCCCCGAAAGCUAUUUAGGUAGCGCCUCGUGAAUUCAUCUCCGGGGGUAGAGCACUGUUUCGGCAAGGGGGUCAUCCCGACUUACCAACCCGAUGCAAACUGCGAAUACCGGAGAAUGUUAUCACGGGAGACACACGGCGGGUGCUAACGUCCGUCGUGAAGAGGGAAACAACCCAGACCGCCAGCUAAGGUCCCAAAGUCAUGGUUAAGUGGGAAACGAUGUGGGAAGGCCCAGACAGCCAGGAUGUUGGCUUAGAAGCAGCCAUCAUUUAAAGAAAGCGUAAUAGCUCACUGGUCGAGUCGGCCUGCGCGGAAGAUGUAACGGGGCUAAACCAUGCACCGAAGCUGCGGCAGCGACGCUUAUGCGUUGUUGGGUAGGGGAGCGUUCUGUAAGCCUGUGAAGGUGUGCUGUGAGGCAUGCUGGAGGUAUCAGAAGUGCGAAUGCUGACAUAAGUAACGAUAAAGCGGGUGAAAAGCCCGCUCGCCGGAAGACCAAGGGUUCCUGUCCAACGUUAAUCGGGGCAGGGUGAGUCGACCCCUAAGGCGAGGCCGAAAGGCGUAGUCGAUGGGAAAC